ACAUCAACGUGAAUUUCAUCUUCCACGUUUCAUCAUCACCAUAUUCAUCUUCUAACAUGAAACUCUAAAUUCGUGUUGGUCCGUAGCCACUUUCGAACAAUCCGAAAUUAUUCAUUGUGCUUAUCUCAUUUUUACAUAUUUUUUCCCAAACUUAACACAACAUUCAUCGUGUUCGUCCCUGUUUGUCGACGGUUGCAAUAAUUGACGUUGCUCAAAUUUCUCGACGGUUCUCCAGCAGCUGCCAUGUUCUUAUACCAAAAUUUCAAUUCACGAGACUAUGCUUUAUAAUUUCUACCGCGAUUGUAUUUCUUUCAGAAUCGUAAACCUUGUCCUUUUUCCAUGCAAACUGAAACCAUAUUCCAUUUUCCAAAAAUUGAAAAACAUUCUUGAUCUAUCGAAUCUGAGAUUCACAUGAUUAUUUUUCUCGCACAUCUCAUGUACAAAGAAAAUCAGUCAAACUUGCAUUUUUAUGUUUUGCAUUUCUCUGAAGAUGUUUGUUUUGAUUUGGGAAUUUAGGGUUUAUUCGUUUUAAUGCCCACGAUAUCGUUUAUUGAUUGUGUUUGUUUUGAUUUUGGGAUUUAGGGUUUCAUUGAAGAAGAGGGUUCUUAUUUGCAGAGAGUAAGAGUACGAGGUAUUCUUAACAAUCAUACAAAGUAAGCGAAUCCUUCCCCUACAAGUGGAUAAACAAGAAAUGGAAAGAAGGUUUUCAUGUCACCUCAAUGGCUACUGCUGGAAACAGCUGGGUAUUAUUAUGCCUUGCAAUGCUGGAUUCAGUGAUCAGGUGGUCGAACUGGAUUUCCUCUAUCUGAGUGAAGGAAUCCAUAAACGUUGGGAUAAUGGUUAUAGGAUUACGGCAAAUGCAGCUACACUGGAUCAAUCUGCGCUUAUAUUAAGUAUCCCGAGGAACAGGCUCGGUGAUGAAACUCAGGAAACUCUGCGCACAUCUCAAUUUUCCAGUGCUCAUGUAAAGGAAAAAUGGUCAAAAAACCUUUAUCUUGCCCAUUUGUGCUAUAGGCGCACAAUAUGCUGAUUGAUCUCCAUUACCAUCGGAAUUUGAUUGACAAAAGAAUUAUGGAUUGUCUGCUGCCGUAUCAUAUAUAACAUCUUUUUGAAGACACUAUUUGUGCCAGCAGAGAAUCAUAUUUGUUCUCUGUUGUAUAGUUUAUUUUUACACCGUUCUCUACCCUUUUAAUGUAUGAUUUACUUUUGCUGUGAAUAUGGCAGGGUACUGUAUGUUUUAUUAGCUAUUAUAUAUGUUCAUCAAUUGAUCUUGUGUAUACUGAUCUUUUUCUGUUACAGAUCUUGGUCUCUCACAAUGGGUAAAUCGCCUGGAAAAUGGAUCAAAAUGGAACUGUUUGGGAAGAAGUCAUCCUAAUCAAAUAUGCCAAGAGGAAGAGAGCUUGUUAAUCAAAAAGAAAGAGUUGUUACUUCCAAGGUUUCAGAAACUGGUUUGGCUUUAGAGCCAAUCGUCAUUACUAUUCCCAGACACGAGGAAGAGUUGGAGCUGGAGAGUAGAGAAGCAGAAAAUGUUUUGCCUGGGAAUCAAGAAAUUGACAAAGUGGGACAUGUACAUCAAGAUGCACCACUUGAUCCAGAAAUAUUGAGGCGGGAGGAAGCAGUUACGAAAGCACAAGCUGCUUUCAGGGGUUAUUUGGGUAAUGUAUGUUUUAUCAUGCAACUGCAAUCAACCACCAAAGUAGAAUCAUGAAGAGAAGAUGUGUUGUUUAAUUAUAACAUGUAUGUCCUUUUUAAACAGUACAGUCAACCUUAUUAGCUCAUGCUCAUUCGCUGGUGAGUUCGUUUCACUACCAGCGAGUUGGAUAUGAUAAUUAUCGUUGGUGUUUUGGAUGUCGAUGGAUCUAAUUAUUGCUCGAACCGUGACUACAAAGGAAUCUCUUGUCUUUAGAGAGUUAAUAGAUAUCACUGAGAGUAAGCUGUCAUUCUUGAAAAGCUUUCUUGUAAGAUUAAUGAUCAUUCUUGGAUGCGGAUGUUGUGCAUUGUCUUUAGAUCCUAUGAACCAAUUUGACUAGCAUUUGGUUGAGACAAUAAUUAGAGUUGAUACAUGGAAAAUAUCCUCUCCUAUAAACCUUGCCACUAAUGAGAAUAACAUGAGAAUGACACGGAGUUGAGCUUAAGACAGAUAUGUUUUGUACAGGUAAUGAAAACAUGAGAUUUCUUAUGUUUCUAACCUGAAGUACUUUUAUUUCAUAGUUAUUUCUGCUUCACUGACAUGAAGUUUUUCAGUGGAGGUUGAUUUGUUGUUCAUGCUCAUAGAUCCUCCUGCAAUUUUUCAGUAAACGAUUUUUCAACUGAUGGAACCAGACGGGCGGUCCAGAUAAAAAUAUUUUAUGUUUUCUUGAUCUAGAUAUUGAUUUAUCCGCUUACACCAUGUGCACUACAUUAUGACUUUAUGUUUUUGUUAGACACCAAAGGCAGACUUAGCACAACUAGAACUUAUCAUGAGAUGAAAAAAACGUGGAACCAACUGCAACAAAGUUUCUCAACUAUGUAUCAUGUUCCUUAUUCACGGCUGAAACCAACAAGGUUCAACAACAAUGCAAACGUUUCUUCCUCAUUCUUCCUUCAGGAAAUUGACUAGAUAAUUUGCUUGCUUCUAACCAGUUGCGAAAAACCAGUGGUUGACGAGGUGUUCAUGUCUAUUGUUGGUGAUAGGAAAUCACAAAUGUCACUAAUUUUGUGUAUUGGCUCUGUUCAUUGAAGGGUUUUCACUUGAUUUGCUUUCAGAUGAAUUGAGAAAAACUACCAUUCAAAGAAUUACAUCUGAUUAUUUUGACUUAAUCGACAACUUUGAUGAAGCUUCAUUGAUGGCAUGUUCCUCUGGUUUAUUUGGGAUUCCAGUUUUAAUCCUUUCUGCUUCUUUGCAAUCUUCUUUGCAAUCACUGUAAGUACUUUGGAAGAUCUCUAAAGCUUAGGAUGUUGAUUCCUUCCGCCAAUAGAAUAGCACUCAAAACUUGGACUUGUUGGUAAUUACGACGCUACUGGAAAAAAUUCAAAUAAUCCAAAGUAUGGAUCAGAUUUCGUAUCGCUGCUAACACCGUAAAUCUGUGGACAUCUCGUACUGCAAUAGUUGAUCCCUCUAUUAUUUGCAACACUAAGAAUGAGCCAAAUUUUGUGAAUGUAAUUUCCAUAUAUAAAUUUAAAUUGUACCUAAUUCUCUACAGCUUAAAGAUGAAACCGAGUAGUUUUUUAA